rnacentral:rRNA from 1 species
AGCGCAGGCGGUCUUGCAAGUCUGAUGUGAAAGCCCGGGGCUCAACCCCGGUACUGCAUUGGAAACUGUCGGACUAGAGUGUCGGAGGGGUAAGUGGAAUUCCUAGUGUAGCGGUGAAAUGCGUAGAUAUUAGGAGGAACACCAGUGGCGAAGGCGGCUUACUGGACGAUUACUGACGCUGAGGCUCGAAAGCGUGGGGAGCAAACA